UACGUAGGGUGCGAGCGUUUAAUCGGAAUUACUGGGCGUAAAGCGUGCGCAGGCGGUCUGUUAAGACCGAUGUGAAAUCCCCGGGCUUAACCUGGGAACUGCAUUGGUGACUGGCAGGCUUUGAGUGCGGCAGAGGGAGGUAGAAUUCCACGUGUAGCAGUGAAAUGCGUAGAGAUGUGGAGGAAUACCGAUGGCGAAGGCAGCCUCCUGGGCCAACACUGACGCUCAUGCACGAAAGCGUGGGGAGCAAACAGG
rnacentral:rRNA from 1 species